rnacentral:rRNA from 1 species
UACGGAGGAUCCGAGCGUUAUCCGGAUUUAUUGGGUUUAAAGGGUGCGUAGGUGGAUUGGUAAGUCAGUGGUGAAAGUUUGCAGCUUAACUGUAAAAUUGCCGUUGAAGCUGCCGGUCUUGAGUGCAAAUGAGGUAGGCGGAAUGCGUCGUGUAGCGGUGAAAUGCUUAGAUAUGACGCAGAACUCCGAUUGCGAAGGCAGCUUACUGGGAUGCAACUGACGCUGAGGCACGAAAGCGUGGGUAUCAAACAGGAUUAGAUA